UUACAAAAAAAGUUCGCAAUUUACAUAAUUCUUAUUUUGUUAUGUUUAUUGUCUAUUUAAUAUAUUGAAACGACAUCGAUAGUACCUGACUUAAAAUGCAACAAGUUGUAACAUCUGACAUCAAAUACAACAAGAUAUUUUACAUGUUUGUCAAAAUCUUUCCUGGGCAUGUCGGGAGAGAACUUUAAUUGAAAUUUGUAAAAAAACAAAUUGGUUGAAAAACUUCAGGAAGAAGCAGAUAUACAUCAAAUUGUUUAUACAUUUUCAAAAUUGAUAUUAAUUUAUUCCAAGUCGUCAAUGGAAACUGGGGACCAUGGAGUCUGUAUGGGCCAUGCUCAGUAACGUGUGGAGAAGGAGUGCAGGAAAGAACACGAUUGUGUAAUGAUCCUGCUCCUGUAGGGGACGGAAAGCCAUGUGAUGGUGAAGAUACUAGCUCAAAAAGUUGUUACACAGACACAUGUGCAGCAUUCACAGCGACAUUACCCGGAGGUGUGCAUUCAUAUCAGAACGAUAAUGCUAUCGAAUAUCUGAUUAAGCUUUUAGACAAUCGUGGUUACAGAGAUGGUAGUUUUACUGUUCUUCCUGGAAUGGACGGUGUUUACUCGGUAUCGGUUACCAUGAUGUCAGGCUCUGUAACCGCUCACACUACUUUACGGAAGAAUGGAGCUAUUUUAGUGUGGUUAUACACUAAUAAAGAAUAUGAUAUGGCUUCCCAAACAAUCAUCGUUCAACUGGUAGUAGGUGACAGGCUUUGGGUACAAAUGACCCAUCAAGCAUCGAGUCUUUUCGAUGUUUAUAACACUUUUAGUGCAUUUCGGAUACGUUAAAUCUAUCAAUAGGAUCGCAUAAAGGCACAAAGGCUUCACAGAUGUAACGUUACGGCCCACAAAAAUAAGCAGUGAAUUAUGUCAAAUAAAACUUUUGUCAACGUGUGACCUUUUUUCAAGUUACAAACGCAUUUGAUUUGUUAUUUUAAUUUUGCAUGUAAUUUAUAACUGAAACAAAGAUUAUAUUCGACGUACAUGUACGUUUAUAUAUAAACAAUCAUUAUGACUUCAACAAAGAGCUAAGUAUUAUCUUAGAUGGAUAUGAAUCAAUAAAUAAGGAAUGAGUAACA